AGCGUGACAGCCUUCAGGGGUCCUGCUCACAGUCAUCACACAAAAGACAAAAAUUAUUCUGAUGGCCACCACAAGGAUCCCCCAAGCAGGCCCUGCGCUUUCUGCAAAGCCGCCUCCCUCGCCUGCCUUCUCUGCUCUGCGACCCCCAGUGUCGCCAGGUGCCCCCAUGGUGUUCACGGCACAGCCGUGGGCUCCUAGGGCAGAAAACUAGGAAUCCAUGGAGAUGACCCACAGUGAGUACCCUGGC
rnacentral:lncRNA from 1 species